UAGGGAAUCUUCCGCAAUGGACGCAAGUCUGACGGAGCAACGCCGCGUGAGUGAAGAAGGAUUUCGGUUCGUAAAACUCUGUUGUUAGAGAAGAACAGCGCAUAGAGUAACUGUUAUGCGUGUGACGGUAUGUAACCAGAAAGCCACGGCUAACUACGUGCCAGCAGCCGCGGUAAUACGUAGGUGGCAAGCGUUGUCCGGAUUUAUUGGGCGUAAAGCGAGCGCAGGCGGUCAAUUAAGUCUGAUGUGAAAGCCCCCGGCUCAACCGGGGAGAGUCAUUGGAAACUGGUUGACUUGAGUGCAGAAGAGGAGAGUGGAAUUCCAUGUGUAGCGGUGAAAUGCGUAGAUAUAUGGAGGAACACCAGUGGCGAAGGCGACUCUCUGGUCUGUAACUGACGCGGAGGCUCGAAAGCGUGGGGAGCGAACAGG
rnacentral:rRNA from 1 species